UUUCAUGCCUUUCAUUUGCCAAAGGAGGUCAGGGCAGGGCUGAAGUCUAAAACCAGACCAGCUGGACCCCAACUCAUCCAUUUCCUUAUCCUUUGUUCCAUCAACCAACCCAUCUGACCUCAUUGUGCUGUCACAAGCCAUUGCAGGUGGACGUUUGCUUACUUUAGAUUCAAAGUGGAAGGCCACCUGAUGCCCAGAGUUGCAGAAAGAACAAGGAACGCUGGCAGUUAUAACAGCCUGCAGCAAAGCCCAAGGACCUGAAGGAAACUACAAAAUGACACUUGGAGCCUCCUACUUUACAAGGACAAGUAGCUCUCUACACUGAAAAUGGGGAGAGGGGCCUAGAGAUGGCACACAGAAACUACUAAAACUUUGCAGCCAAAGUCAUCUACCCUGGUGUCAAUGCAAAAGGCAAACUGCUUUCAGAGCACAACUUUAGAGUAAGCUGUGUGCAACCUAAGGUUGCAGGGAACAGGAAGUCUCACUGGAAUUCUCCCUGGCAGAGUGAGCAACAGCUACAAGAGUUGCUAUGAUCCAUGAUGAAGUUCACAUGUUAGGCAUGAUGAGGAACUUCUCAGCUGGCUGCUGAGGCCCUGCUGCAGGACCUUGUGGGGCAGACAUAACUACAGGACCGAAGUGCCACACAGAACAGCCAUUACACAGGCGGCACAGGAUACCACCAGCAAGUUCCACCCCUAGCACCUUGCACUUGGAGCCUCAUCCUAACAGGGCUCCCCAGGCACUCUUUCCUCUCCUCCCUCAUCAUCCUCCAUCACAUUCCAGGCUAGGUGUGACAACCAGAGCUGUGGGGGAGGGUCGAUCUUGAAAUCAGUUCCCUUCAUUCAGCACCAGGCACCUCUGUGCGUUCCUUUAAACCUGGGUAAUUUUUCCAAGUGCUUUCCCUACCUUUCAUUCCAUCCCCUUUGCACACAAUUCAGUCAUGUUCAUGACAUUAUUGGUAAGUGAGAAUCACCAUGUCCCACCAAACAAUUUGUAGGGUCAGCUCCAUAAACCGGGAGGAUAAAAAAAACCCACCUCAAUCACCUGAUAACAUUUUAGCCACCCAGAAACCUUUGGGGGAAACCCAACGGGAUGACCACAGGUUACACUCUUGCAGGCACCAAAACUCUAAUGACAUGCACCAUAGUGAAUGGAAAUCCUUCUCCUUCAGUCUGUGCUCUCAGCUUUCUAAAACAGAUUACACUGAAAUUAACAUCUUUUUGAUGACUCAUCUUCAAGAAGCUUUUCAUAUUUUAUUUUCUUCCCUGGCUGACUCGUUGUUUCAGAUUUUCAAACAUCUCCCUUCUCAGUUCAACCCUGUACAUAACCUCCACCAGAGGGUAAGGAAGACCACCGGAGCACUUGAUGGAAAGUUGGAAACGUUCAUUUGGAGCUAAUGCAAUAAAAGGGGAUAGAGCUGA